UACGUAGGGGGCCAGCGUUGUUCGGAAUUACUGGGUGUAAAGGGUUCGUAGGCGGUGCGGCAAGUUGGGAGUGAAAUCUCGGAGCUUAACUCCGAAACUGCAUUCGAUACUGCCGUGCUUGAGGACUGGAGAGGAGACUGGAAUUUACGGUGUAGCGGUGAAAUGCGUAGAUAUCGUAAGGAAGACCAGUGGCGAAGGCGGGUCUCUGGACAGUUCCUGACGCUGAGGCACGAAGGCCAGGGGAGCAAACGGG
rnacentral:rRNA from 1 species